rnacentral:sRNA from 1 species
AGUAGAUUGGGAAACUCGUCAAAUUUACGUGAAAUACCGAGACAAGCUUCGCCGUCCGAUGGCGGGCCUCGACGGUGCCGCGGCGCCGGAGCCUUUGAGCCGGAGGAUUACAAAGGGCGGCAAGCACUCAAAUCCUGUCUUAUCGGAGUUUCAUCGCAUCCUUUGAUGUGGCUCUU